AUACGAAGGGUGCAAGCGUUACUCGGAAUUACUGGGCGUUAAAGCGUGCGUAGGUGGUUCGUUAAGUCUGUCGUGAAAGCCCCGGGCUCACCCUGGGAAUGGCGAUGGAUACUGGCGGGCUAGAGUGCGGUAGAGGAGAGUGGAAUUCCCGGUGUAGCAGUGAAAUGCGUAGAGAUCGGGAGGAACAUCAGUUGCGAAGGCGGCUCUCUGGACCAGCACUGACACUGAGGCACGAAAGCGUGGGGAGC
rnacentral:rRNA from 1 species